rnacentral:rRNA from 1 species
GAGUUUGAUCCGUGGCUCAGAUUGAACGCUGGCGGCAUGCCUAACACAUGCAAGUCGAACGGCAGCACUGGGAGCUUGCUCCCUGGUGGCGAGUGGCGGACGGGUGAGUAACGCGUAGGAAUCUGCCUCAUAGCGGGGGACAACUCGGGAAACUCGAGCUAAUACCGCAUACUACUCGAGAGAGGAAAGCAGGGGACCUUCGGGCCUUGCACUAUGAGAUGAGCCUUGCGUUGGAUUAGCUAGUUGGUAGGGUAAAGG